rnacentral:tRNA from 1 species
GUAACUCGGUGAUUAUUUAGUACGUCACAUAAAGAUAUAGCAAUAUUAUAUUUAGGAUAUGGUAUGAUAUC